rnacentral:rRNA from 1 species
GACAGCAGUCGCCGCGGUAAUACGAAGGGUGCAAGCGUUAAUCGGAAUUACUGGGCGUAAAGCGUGCGUAGGCGGUUUGUUAAGUCUGUUGUGAAAUCCCCGGGCUCAACCUGGGAAUGGCAAUGGAUACUGGCAAGCUAGAGUGUGUCAGAGGAUGGUGGAAUUCCCGGUGUAGCGGUGAAAUGCGUAGAGAUCGGGAGGAACAUCAGUGGCGAAGGCGGCCAUCUGGGACAACACUGACGCUGAGGCACGAAAGCGUGGGGAGCAAACAGGAUUAGAUACCCCUGUAGUCCCUGUCUCUUAUAC